AUUGAACGCUGGCGGCAUGCUUUACACAUGCAAGUCGAACGGUAACAGGCCGCAAGGUGCUGACGAGUGGCGAACGGGUGAGUAAUGCAUCGGAACGUGCUCAGUCGUGGGGGAUAACGCAGCGAAAGCUGCGCUAAUACCGCAUACGAUCUAUGGAUGAAAGCGGGGGGACCGUAAGGCCUCGCGCGAUUGGAGCGGCCGAUGUCAGAUUAGGUAGUUGGUGGGGUAAAGGCUCACCAAGCCAACGAUCUGUAGCUGGUCUGAGAGGACGACCAGCCACACUGGGACUGAGACACGGCCCAGACUCCUACGGGAGGCAGCAGUGGGGGAAUUUUGGACAAUGGGCGCAAGCCUGAUCCAGCAAUGCCGCGUGCAGGAAGAAGGCCUUCGGGUUGUAAACUGCUUUGUACGGGAAGGAUAAUGACUGUACCGGAAGAAUAAGACCCGGCUAACUUCGUGCCAGCAGCCGCGGUAAU
rnacentral:rRNA from 1 species